UACGUAGGGGGCAAGCGUUGUCCGGAAUCAUUGGGCGUAAAGAGCGCGUAGGCGGCCCGAUAAGUCCGCUGUGAAAGUCAAGGGCUCAACCCUUGAAUGCCGGUGGAUACUGUCGGGCUAGAGUCCGGAAGAGGCGAGUGGAAUUCCUGGUGUAGCGGUGAAAUGCGCAGAUAUCAGGAGGAACACCAAUGGCGAAGGCAGCUCGCUGGGACGGUACUGACGCUGAGACGCGAAAGCGUGGGGAGCAAACAGG
rnacentral:rRNA from 1 species